rnacentral:rRNA from 1 species
CCUACGGGGGGCUGCAGUGGGGAAUAUUGGACAAUGGGCGAAAGCCUGAUCCAGCCAUGCCGCGUGUGUGAAGAAGGCCUUCGGGUUGUAAAGCACUUUCAGUGGGGAAGAAAGCCUUGGGGCUAAUACCCUCGAGGAAGGACAUCACCCACAGAAGAAGCACCGGCUAACUCCGUGCCAGUAGCCGCGGUAAUACGGAGGGUGCGAGCGUUAAUCGGAAUUACUGGGCGUAAAGCGCGCGUAGGCGGUCUGAUAAGCCGGUUGUGAAAGCCCCGGGCUCAACCUGGGAACGGCAUCCGGAACGGUCAGGCUAGAGUGCAGGAGAGGAAGGUAGAAUUCCCGGUGUAGCAGUGAAAUGCGUAGAGAUCGGGAGGAAUACCAGUGGCGAAGGCGGCCUUCUGGACUGACACUGACGCUGAGGUGCGAAAGCGUGGGUAGCAAACAGGAUUAGAUACCCCAGUAGUC